rnacentral:tRNA from 1 species
GGCUGGGUGGCAGAGUGGUCAGAGAGUAGGGCUUGUAACCGAGAGGUUCCGAGUUCGAACCUCGCAAGGGGCA